rnacentral:rRNA from 1 species
GGAUUCCCCUAGUAACUGCGAGUGAAGCGGGAAAAGCUCAAAUUUAAAAUCUGGCGGUCUUUGGCCGUCCGAGUUGUAGUCUGGAGAAGUGCUUUCCGCGCUGGACCGUGUAUAAGUCUCUUGGAACAGAGCGUCAUAGAGGGUGAGAAUCCCGUCUUUGACACGGACUACCAGUGCUUUGUGAUGCGCUCUCAAAGAGUCGAGUUGUUUGGGAAUGCAGCUCAAAAUGGGUGGUAAAUUCCAUCUAAAGCUAAAUAUUGGCGAGAGACCGAUAGCGAACAAGUACCGUGAGGGAAAGAUGAAAAGCACUUUGGAAAGAGAGUUAAACAGUACGUGAAAUUGCUGAAAGGGAAACGCUUGAAGUCAGUCGCGUCUGCCGGAACUCAGCCUUCCUUUUGGUUGGUGCACUUUCCGGUAGACGGGCCAGCAUCGAUUUCGACCGUCGGAAAAGGGCUGGGGAAAUGUGGCACCUUCGGGUGUGUUAUAGUCCCCAGUCGCAUACGUCGGUUGGGAUCGAGGAUCGCAGCGCGCCGCAAGGCAGGGGUUCCCCCACUUUCGCGCUUAGGAUGCUGGCAUAAUGGCUUUAAACGACCCGUCUUGAAACACGGACCAAGGAGUCUAACAAACCUGCGAGUGUUUGGGUGGAAAACCCGAGCGCGUAAUGAAAGUGAAAG